AAAAAUAUUAGACUCGUGAUGCCCUAGACCAUUGAAUUACAUCAGGUUCAGCAUCUCUAAUCCCUCAAAGAGCCAUGCUAACCGCAAUUGCGCACAUUAUGACACUAUACUCAUGAUUGUUUCGCUAUACUGAAGCGACACAAUCUGUCGACAACGAGUCAAAGUGUCUGAAUGUAAUUCAACUAGUCUUUCUUGAGCCCUCAUGCC
rnacentral:lncRNA from 1 species